GACGAACGCUGUCGGCGUGCUUAACACAUGCAAGUCGAACGGAAAGGCCCUGCUUUUGUGGGGUGCUCGAGUGGCGAACGGGUGAGUAACACGUGAGUAACCUGCCCUUGACUUUGGGAUAACUUCAGGAAACUGGGGCUAAUACCGGAUAGGAGCUCCUGCUGCAUGGUGGGGGUUGGAAAGUUUCGGCGGUUGGGGAUGGACUCGCGGCUUAUCAGCUUGUUGGUGGGGUAGUGGCUUACCAAGGCUUUGACGGGUAGCCGGCCUGAGAGGGUGACCGGCCACAUUGGGACUGAGAUACGGCCCAGACUCCUACGGGAGGCAGCAGUGGGGAAUAUUGCACAAUGGGCGGAAGCCUGAUGCAGCAACGCCGCGUGCGGGAUGACGGCCUUCGGGUUGUAAACCGCCUUCGCCUGUGACGAAGCGUGAGUGACGGUAAUGGGUAAAGAAGCACCGGCUAACUACGUGCCAGCAGCCGCGGUGAUACGUAGGGUGCGAGCGUUGUCCGGAUUUAUUGGGCGUAAAGGGCUCGUAGGUGGUUGAUCGCGUCGGAAGUGUAAUCUUGGGGCUUAGCCCUGAGCGUGCUUUCGAUACGGGUUGACUUGAGGAAGGUAGGGGAGAAUGGAAUUCCUGGUGGAGCGGUGGAAUGCGCAGAUAUCAGGAGGAACACCAGUGGCGAAGGCGGUUCUCUGGGCCUUUCCUGACGCUGAGGAGCGAAAGCGUGGGGAGCGAACAGGCUUAGAUACCCUGGUAGUCCACGCUGUAAACGGUGGGUACUAGGUGUGGGGUCCAUUCCACGGGUUCCGUGCCGUAGCUAACGCUUUAAGUACCCCGCCUGGGGAGUACGGCCGCAAGGCUAAGACUCAAAGGAAUUGACGGGGCCCCGCACAAGCGGCGGAGCAUGCGGAUUAAUUCGAUGCAACGCGUAGAACCUUACCUGGGUUUGACAUGGAUCGGGAGUGCUCAGAGAUGGGUGUGCCUCUUUUGGGGUCGGUUCACAGGUGGUGCAUGGCUGUCGUCAGCUCGUGUCGUGAGAUGUUGGGUUAAGUCCCGCAACGAGCGCAACCCUUGUUCACUGUUGCCAGCACGUUAUGGUGGGGACUCAGUGGAGACCGCCGGGGUCAACUCGGAGGAAGGUGGGGAUGACGUCAAGUCAUCACGCCCCUUAUGUCCAGGGCUUCACGCAUGCUACAAUGGCUGGUACAGAGAGUGGCGAGCCUGUGAGGGUGAGCGAAUCUCGGAAAGCCGGUCUCAGUUCGGAUUGGGGUCUGCAACUCGACCUCAUGAAGUCGGAGUCGCUAGUAAUCGCAGAUCAGCAACGCUGCGGUGAAUACGUUCCCGGG
rnacentral:rRNA from 1 species